AGGGGAUCCCAAGUGCGAGGGCAUAUCGCCCUCGCUUUUCUGCACCGUAAGGAGGUACAGGUACAAGAGCUCGGCAAGACCGGUGCCAGCCGCCGCGGUAAUACCGGCAGCUCGAGUGAUGACCGAUCUUAUUGGUCCUAAAGCGUCCGUACCCGUCCGAGUUGGUUCGUCGGGAAAUCCAGUAGCUUAACUACUGGGCGUCCGGCGAAUACCACUCGGCUUGGGACAGGAAGGCUCGAGGGGUACGUCCGGGGUAGGAGUGAAAUCCCGUAAUCCUGGACGGGCCCCCGAUGGCGAAAGCACCUCGAGAGGACUGAUCCGACGGUGAGGGACGAAAGCUGGGGUCUCGAACCGGAUUAGAUACCCGGGUAGUCCCAGCCGUAAACGAUGUCUGUUAGGUGUGUCACUGACUACGAGUCAGUGAUGUUCCGCAGGGAAGCCGCUAAACAGACCGCCUGGGAAAAACGUCCGCAAGGAUGAAACUUAAAGGAAUUGGCGGG
rnacentral:rRNA from 1 species